GGGGCCCGUAGCUCAGCCUGGAUAGAGCGGCGGCCUUCUAAGAGCCGUAGGUCGUGGGUUCAAAUCCCAUCGGGCCCGCC
rnacentral:tRNA from 1 species